rnacentral:rRNA from 1 species
GGAGGGACGGAGAAGGCUAGGCCAGCUUGGCGUUGGUUGUCCAAGUUUAAGGUGGUAGGCUGGAAUCUUAGGUAAAUCCGGGGUUUCAAGGCCGAGAGCUGAUGACGAGUCGUCUUUUAGAUGACGAAGUGGUUGAUGCCAUGCUUCCAAGAAAAGCUUCUAAGCUUCAGGUAACCAGGAACCGUACCCCAAACCGACACAGGUGGUCGGGUAGAGAAUACCAAGGCGCUUGAGAGAACUCGGGUGAAGGAACUAGGCAAAAUGGCACCGUAACUUCGGGAGAAGGUGCGCCGGCUAGGGUGAAGGAUUUACUCCGUAAGCUCUGGCUGGUCGAAGAUACCAGGCCGCUGCGACUGUUUAUUAAAAACACAGCACUCUGCAAACACGAAAGUGGACGUAUAGGGUGUGACGCCUCCCCGGUGCCGGAAGGUUAAUUGAUGGGGUUAGCGCAAGCGAAGCUCUUGAUCGAAGCCCCGGUAAACGGCGGCCGUAACUAUAACGGUCCUAAGGUAGCGAAAUUCCUUGUCGGGUAAGUUCCGACCUGCACGAAUGGCGUAACGAUGGCGGCGCUGUCUCCACCCGAGACUCAGUGAAAUUGAAAUCGCUGUGAAGAUGCAGUGUAUCCGCGGCUAGACGGAAAGACCCCGUGAACCUUUACUGUAGCUUUGCACUGGACUUUGAGCCUGCUUGUGUAGGAUAGGUGGGAGGCUUUGAAGCGUGGACGCCAGUUCGCGUGGAGCCAUCCUUGAAAUACCACCCUGGCAUGCUUGAGGUUCUAACUCUGGUCCGUAAUCCGGAUCGAGGACAGUGUAUGGUGGGCAGUUUGACUGGGGCGGUCUCCUCCUAAAGAGUAACGGAGGAGUACGAAGGUGCGCUCAGACCGGUCGGAAAUCGGUCGCAGAGUAUAAAGGCAAAAGCGCGCUUGACUGCGAGACAGACACGUCGAGCAGGUACGAAAGUAGGUCUUAGUGAUCCGGUGGUUCUGUAUGGAAGGGCCAUCGCUCAACGGAUAAAAGGUACUCCGGGGAUAACAGGCUGAUACCGCCCAAGAGUUCAUAUCGACGGCGGUGUUUGGCACCUCGAUGUCGGCUCAUCACAUCCUGGGGCUGAAGCCGGUCCCAAGGGUAUGGCUGUUCGCCAUUUAAAGUGGUACGCGAGCUGGGUUUAGAACGUCGUGAGACAGUUCGGUCCCUAUCUGCCGUGGACGUUUGAGAUUUGAGAGGGGCUGCUCCUAGUACGAGAGGACCGGAGUGGACGAACCUCUGGUGUUCCGGUUGUCACGCCAGUGGCAUUGCCGGGUAGCUAUGUUCGGAAAAGAUAACCGCUGAAAGCAUCUAAGCGGGAAACUUGCCUCAAGAUGAGAUCUCACUGGGAACUUGAUUCCCCUGAAGGGCCGUC